GAGUCUAACUUCACGGGAAUGAUACAUUCGGAUUUCCUCCAUAGUAUCCUGGCAUUGGCACCCACUGGUAUGGAGUCCCUGAAUGAGGAUACCCCUAGACUGGGUUGCCAAGGAAAAAAUUGCCCCAUCGCGGGCUGAUCAGAUCGACCUAUGAUGUUAUGCACUUGAUCUUGUGCUUCUGAGGUCGCUGCAUCCACAGGUAAUUGCCCCGAUUGAGGUUGAUUGUCAGCCAUGACGGUUAGCUAGAUUUUUCCGGUGGAAGAUCGAAGACCAAAGAGGACGAAUUGAAGAAGCGAAUUAAAGGUGCGUAACCCACUCUGAUACCAUGAAAGAAGAUGAAGAAGACGAGAUGAAGGAAAGCGAGAUGGGGAAGUUUUCUUGUAUUUCAAGUAUAUCCUUGUAAUGUACAGAGCAUGUCUAUUAUAAUACAUGUUGUAUGUAAAUAAAAGGAAACAAUAUUGGC